AAUUUCAUUCCUGAAAAAUAAUAAUUUAGAUAAAAAUAUAGCAAAAAUAUCAUAUUCAAUUUUAAGUGAUGGCUUAUAAUCUCUAAAAUACCUUUAAAUCUAAAGAGAUGUAGUUCUCUGUUUCUUAUCCUCGUGGACGCUGAUUCAGGAACUUGAGAGCUUGAUCUUGAACUUGACGAAUUUCAAAUUUAUAAUACAUCACGAACAAUUUGAAGGUAGUUACGAACUAGGAUUUGGUGUUGAGUAAUCACGAACGGAAGAUUUGAAGCCGCCCGCCUAAGAUUUGAGUUUGCCUUUCGAAUUUGACCACUGACCAUUUCCUUCUGCUUACUUGCUUGUCCUUUUUUUAGCCUUCUCAUGUGAUCCCUUUAUAUAGAUGUGUGUGGAGUAGCCUCCAAGAAAAACCUAGCGGUUCAUUGGGCUUGAGGCUCGUGGCCGGACCCAUUUGAUUAAAGACCAAUUAAUGGGCUAGUCCAAUGGUAUAUUGGACCUUUAUUUAAAUCAAUUUAAUUAGAUUUAAAUAAUUGACCCAAUUAUAUUAGCCUAUGAUAUUUUAUUUGGACUAAUAUCUAUUUAAUUUAUGAUAAAAUUUAAAUCUUUUAUUGAUUUUAAUUUAAUAAAAUUUUAACCUUUUACAAAUACCCCCCUACUUCAAGGCUUGUCGGAUUAUAAGCAAUGUUGAAGUCUUGAAGACGAGACUUAAAGUAUUCGUAAAAUUUUGAGUCUUUAGAUAGAACAUUCUCAACCAAUUUUAGUAAUUUGGUCAAAAUAUAACAUCGAGACCCUCAAAAGCAAGGUGGAUUCUCUAACUUUAAUUUAACUUCUUCCAAAAGGAAGGAGAUUCUAUAUCUUUUCUUACAAAGUAUGGAUUUAAUAAAGUAACAGCCAAGGUUUAAUCCAUUCCAAGUUAGACAAAAAUAAGAUUGCCAAAUAUGGUAAGAAUUUUCUUGACUUUGAACCAAGAAAAAUACUUUUCCUUAACUCAAACCAAACUCCUGUCAUGGUUACCUUUUGAAGUCGUUGUCUUAAAUUUUCAUUUACCAUGCAAGACUUUUAAUUCACAAGGACCUAUCUUUCUCCUAAAAGAAUAAUUCCUAUACGUUAAUGAAAGCACAGCAUACUUAACAUAACUAUAAAUAUCAUGUGUUCCUCCAAACUUUCAUCAAAAUUUUAUGUGUUUUACUGUUACAGUCUCCACAUUAACUCAUAUGGGGAGUUAACGUUCUCUCAAGCAGAGACUUAAGCUUCCAUUUUAUUUUCUUGCUAUUCUCCUCUUCUUUCUUUUUCUUUUGGUAAAAGUUAUUCACGUUUUUGUUUGGCUGCAGAAGCUGCCUGGAGUUGUCAGCUUUGUGUGUCUGUGCAAAUAAUUCAUAUCUCAUUGUAGGAAGCCCCAAAUUACAAGUCGUUUGAUUCUACUAAAACUAGACUCACAGACCACAACAUAUCAUAAAGGGUUGAAAUUAAGUUCUUAAGUUGAUUUACACGUCUAGCCCGUUCAGCUAACAGUAUUGCGCACUUUUAUCGUAAAAUUCAUAUCUCAAGAUAAGAGUGUCCAAAUUACGAGCCGUUUGUGGCAUUCAAAAGAAGACUCUGAGAUCUAAAACAUGCAUAAAAGUCGGAGCUCUACCCUUGUUGAUGUUGGAAAUAGGAGGCUAUAUAUAUAUAUAUAUAUAUAUAUAUUAUUUGUGGAAGAGAGGAUUGAUGAUUUAGAAGCUUGAUUGAUCUUGAAUGCUU
rnacentral:lncRNA from 1 species